CGCUGGCGGCAUGCCUAACACAUGCAAGUCGAACGGUAACAGGUCUUCGGAUGCUGACGAGUGGCGCACGGGUGAGUAACGCGUGGAUAUCUGCCUAUGAGUGGGGGACAACUUUCGGAAACGAAAGCUAAUACCGCAUAAUCUCUACGGAGCAAAGCAGGGGACCUUUCGGGGCSUUGUGCUUAUAGAUGAGUCCGCGUCAGAUUAGCUAGUUGGUGGGGUAAGAGCCUACCAAGGCGAUGAUCUGUAGCUGGUUUGAGAGGAUGAUCAGUCACACUGGAACUGAGACACGGUCCAGACUCCUACGGGAGGCAGCAGUGGGGAAUUUUGCACAAUGGGCGCAAGCCUGAUGCAGCGAUGCCGCGUGUGGGAAGAAGGCCUUUGGGUUGUAAACCACUUUCAAUUGGGAAGAAGGGAUGAGUAUUAAUAAUACUCUGACUUGACGGUACCUUUAGAAGAAGCACCGGCUAAUUUCGUGCCAGCAGCCGCGGUAAUACGAAAGGUGCAAGCGUUGUUCGGAUUUACUGGGCGUAAAGAGAUCGUAGGUGGUUUGUUAAGUUAGAUGUGAAAUCCCGGGGCUCAACCUCGGAACUGCAUCUAAAACUGGCAGACUUGAGUUCGGGAGGGGUAAGCGGAAUUCCGUGUGUAGCAGUGAAAUGCGUAGAUAUACGGAGGAACACCUGAGGCGAAGGCGGCUUACUGGACCGAUACUGACACUGAGGAUCGAAAGCGUGGGUAGCAAACAGGAUUAGAUACCCUGGUAGUCCACGCCCUAAACGAUGUCAACUAGCCGUUGCGGGUAUCGACCCCUGCAGUGGCGCAGCUAACGCGAUAAGUUGACCGCCUGGGGAGUACGGUCGCAAGA
rnacentral:rRNA from 1 species